GCUAAACUCUGCAGGACAGUGGUCCUUUAGCGAGGAGGGUAAGGGUUCUUUCUGUUCUCUUUUCUGUGUAAAGCAGCUGUGGAACAGUGCGUCUGAUGCUGCCAUCUAGUGAUCACUGUCUGUAACUGCAAGUGUUUCAGAGCAGCUCCCAGAUACAUACAGCAACGUCAUAUUGAAGAUCAGGUCAUGGCUGUAUCAAGAGUUUGGAGAUAUUAUGACCUUCGUAAUGUGCUGUGAUUGUUUGGCCGUAUCUUGUUAACAGUUACAGACUCCACUCCACAUUCAUCACUGCAGUGACUUUAUUCUGAACAGAGUUUCACUGUAUUCCUCUUCAUCACGUAAUGAACGUCUACAUGAGAAAAACUACAAGUCCAUUACAGCAUCAGCACAUGGAAAUAUAUUUACAAAUCAGAACACACAAAUAAAACCAGAUAUUGCCAAA